GACGAACGCUGGCGGCGUGCUUAACACAUGCAAGUCGAACGGAAAGGCCCUGCUUUUGUGGGGUGCUCGAGUGGCGAACGGGUGAGUAACACGUGAGUAACCUGCCCUUGACGUUGGGAUAACUUCAGGAAACUGGGGCUAAUACCGGAUAGGAGCUCCUGCUGCCUGGUGGGGGUUGGAAAGUUUCGGCGGUUGGGGAUGGACUCGCGGCUUAUCAGCUUGUUGGUGGGGUAGUGGCUUACCAAGGCUUUGACGGGUAGCCGGCCUGAGAGGGUGACCGGCCACAGUGUUACUGAGGUACGGACGGGAAUACUACGGGAGGCAGGAGUGGGGAGUAGUGCCAGAUGGCCGGAAGACUGAUCUAGCAGCGUCGCGUGCGGGAUAGGUGGCUGAUGGUGGUAAUCCGCUUUCGCCUGUGACUAAGCGUGAGUGACGGUAAUGGGUAAAUAAGCACCGGCCAACUACGUG
rnacentral:rRNA from 1 species